AGCGAACGCUGGCGGCAUGCCUAACACAUGCAAGUCGAGCGCUCCCAGCAAUGGGGGAGCGGCGGACGGGUGAGUAACGCGUAGGAACGUAUCCUGAGGUGGGGGAUAACCCUGGGAAACUAGGGCUAAUACCGCAUGAUGGCGAGAGCCCAAAGAAUUUAUCGCCUUGGGAGCGGCCUGCGUCUGAUUAGCUUGUUGGUGGGGUAACGGCCUACCAAGGCGAUGAUCAGUAGCUGGUCUGAGAGGAUGAUCAGCCACACUGGGACUGAGACACGGCCCAGACUCCUACGGGAGGCAGCAGUGGGGAAUAUUGGACAAUGGGCGAAAGCCUGAUCCAGCAAUGCCGCGUGGAUGAAGAAGGUCUUCGGAUUGUAAAGUCCUUUUCGGCGGGGACGAUGAUGACGGUACCCGCAGAAGAAGCCCCGGCUAACUUCGUG
rnacentral:rRNA from 1 species